UAUUAUUUUUAAAUAGAUAGUGACUGCGUUUUAUAGUUCUAUGAGUAAUUAAUCACAAGAUAUGUGAGGGUCCAGAUAUCGAUGGUUGUUCAAGCAGACCGACUGGUGUCAGUUGAGUUAAAUGUGCUUUUCCAGUAAUUAAAACAGCCUUGGAUACACCAGGAGAAUCUGAAAGCAUCUGCCUGCAGUUGGGCACCAUCAGGUCAAUGUUGUUCAUACCAGCACAGCCCACCAGCAGGAUUCUGUGGACGGUAUGGGACAUACACCAAGAAUGUGACAUAGCUUCGUCAGACACCAAGAAUGUGACAAAGCUUCGUCAGAAUUUUAGGUUAACGAAGCUAUGGAUGCAAGGGGUCGAGGUGAGCUGCACAUGUUG
rnacentral:lncRNA from 1 species